GGAGGGAUCAUUCACACAAACACACACUUCAACAACACCACACCUAAGCACCUAGUGUGCCGACUGUGUUGUGUUGUUGAAACACACCAAUCACACCCUACAUCUGCAAUACACACUAUACUUGACUAUCACUAUAUAAUAUCUACACCACACCUAGCAAUGGACCUCUCGGCUCUCGUACCGAUGAAGAACGCAGCGAACUGCGAGACGUGAUGUGAGAAGCAGAUACCCGUGAAUCAUGGAAUCUUUGAACGCAACUGGCGCUAGGCGACUCGCACAUCGCCUAGCACACGCCCCUCAGUCUCCGUCCUUACACACCAGACAGCUGCUGUUUCAGUGCAGUGAAGCUGCUUGGUAGAGUUGAGCGUACUUGUCAUUGACACAUGACAUGUGCUGUGUUGGUGAGUGUGAAGUCAGCAGCAGUCUAUGAUUGUGCUUGCUGGUACUUCUGGUUGUUGUGCUUGUAUGGAGCUGAGUUGGCGUGAGGUGACGCCCUGAAUUUAAGCAUAUUAGUAAGGGCAGGAGUCGAGACUAACUAGUAUUCCCCUAGUAACGGCGAGUGAAGCGGGA
rnacentral:misc_RNA from 1 species